CUCAAUCUUUGCAAUUUCCAUCGCCAUCCCACAUCAGACGCAUUCAUCAAUUUCUGCGUCUUCUAUUUUCGGAAUCACCAUUGCAUCCUCACUUUUGAAUUCAGAAAUUCCUAGUUAUUGAGGUUUAUUUCAAGCUUGCGGUAGGAAAGACGAAGCAUGCUUA